rnacentral:rRNA from 1 species
UACAGAGGGGGCAAGCGUUCAUCGGAAUUACUGGGCGUAAAGCGCACGUAGGCGGCUUGGUAAGUUGGAUGUGAAAUCCCCGGGCUUAACUUGGGAAUUGCAUUCAAGACUGCCUUGCUGGAGUGUUGGAGAGGAAAGCGGAAUUCCAGGUGUAGCGGUGAAAUGCGUAGAUAUCUGGAGGAACAUCAGUGGCGAAGGUGGCUUUCUGGCCAAACACUGACGCUGAGGUGCGAAAGCGUGGGGAGCAAACAGG